AGCGAAAAUGUCCGCAUUCUUUCAUAGAAAAUCGAUGAGAUGCGUCCGCACCUCCUCCCCCAGGUUGGAGCCGAUCAUCACCACAUGCUCCGCGUUCCCGUCGUUCAGAGGGACUGGCACCAGAUCUUCGAUUGGGUCGCCCCUCUCUUCAGUGAGGUCGUCGCGGGCAUCCAACCCGUCAACUGGACAGGGGUCGGACUGGUCGCUUCUUUGCAAGGCUAUGUUGUAGCAGUGUCUGGCCAGGGCUUGGUCUCCUCGGACCUCUCCGAUUUCCUGGCUGGUG
rnacentral:lncRNA from 1 species